GACAGACACACUCUCGCUGACACACGCAUAUAUAUAUAUAUAUAUAGGUCUAUCUAUGUAUAUAUAUAUAUGUAUAUAUAUAUAUAUGCGUGUGUCUGUCAGUGUGUGUCAAAU